rnacentral:rRNA from 1 species
UACGAAGGGGGCUAGCGUUGCUCGGAAUCACUGGGCGUAAAGGGUGCGUAGGCGGGUCUUUAAGUCAGGGGUGAAAUCCUGGAGCUCAACUCCAGAACUGCCUUUGAUACUGAAGAUCUUGAGUUCGGGAGAGGUGAGUGGAACUGCGAGUGUAGAGGUGAAAUUCGUAGAUAUUCGCAAGAACACCAGUGGCGAAGGCGGCUCACUGGCCCGGUACUGACGCUGAUGCGCGAAAGCGUGGGGAGCAAACGGG